AGCAAUACCGCACUGAUAUGUGUAUCUGUUGAAGGAUUAUAUAGGCACUCCAUACCCUAUCUCUCCAAAUAUCUGAGCUUGGGUAUAUGGGGAAACCCAACCCCUCGUGAAGCUGAAGUAUAUGGCUAAAUAGAGCGGA
rnacentral:ribozyme from 1 species